rnacentral:rRNA from 1 species
CCUACGGGUGGCAGCAGUGAGGAAUAUUGGUCAAUGGACGAGAGUCUGAACCAGCCAAGUAGCGUGAAGGAUGACUGCCCUAUGGGUUGUAAACUUCUUUUAUAAAGGAAUAAAACGAGGCACGUGUGCCUUUUUGCAUGUACUUUAUGAAUAAGGAUCGGCUAACUCCGUGACAGCAGCCGCGGUAAUACGGAGGAUCCGAGCGUUAUCCGGAUUUAUGGGGUUUAAAGGGAGCGUAGAUGGGUUGUUAAGUCAGUUGUGAAAGUUUGCGGCUCAACCGUAAAAUUGCAAUUGAUACUGGCAGUCUUGAGUACAGUUGAGGUAGGCGGAAUUCGUGGUGUAGCGGUGAAAUGCUUAGAUAUCACGAAGAACCCCGAUUGCGAAGGCAGCUUACUAAACUGUGACUGACAUUGAUGCUCGAAAGUGUGGGUAUCAGACAGGAUUAGAUACCCCAGUAGUC